UAUGGGCAUAUCACCUUGAAACACCAGUUCUUGUGUGAAAACCGAAGUUAGGCAAUAUCGAGCCUGGUCAGUACCUAGAUGGGUGACCACCUGGGAAUAUCUGGGGCUGAAA